UGGGGAAUAUUGCACAAUGGGCGCAAGCCUGAUGCAGCCAUGCCGCGUGUGUGAAGAAGGCCUUCGGGUUGUAAAGCACUUUCAGCGGGGAGGAAGGCGUUAAGGUUAAUAACCUUGGCGAUUGACGUUACCCGCAGAAGAAGCACCGGCUAACUCCGUGCCAGCAGCCGCGGUAAUACGGAGGGUGCAAGCGUUAAUCGGAAUUACUGGGCGUAAAGCGCACGCAGGCGGUCUGUCAAGUCGGAUGUGAAAUCCCCGGGCUCAACCUGGGAACUGCAUUCGAAACUGGCAGGCUAGAGUCUUGUAGAGGGGGGUAGAAUUCCAGGUGUAGCGGUGAAAUGCGUAGAGAUGUGGAGGAAUACCGGUGGCGAAGGCGGCCCCCUGGACAAAGACUGACGCUCAGGUGCGAAAGCGUGGGGAGCAAACAGG
rnacentral:rRNA from 1 species